GACGAACGCUGGCGGCGUGCUUAACACAUGCAAGUCGAACGGAAAGGCCCUGCUUUUGUGGGGUGCUCGAGUGGCGAACGGGUGAGUAACACGUGAGUAACCUGCCCUUGACUUUGGGAUAACUUCAGGAAACUGGGGCUAAUACCGGAUAGGAGCUCCUGCUGCAUGGUGGGGGUUGGAAAGUGUCGGCGGUUGGGGUUGGACUCGCGGCUUAUCAGCUUGCUGGUGGGGUAGUGGCUUACCAAGGCUGUGACGGGUAGCCGGCCUGGGAGGGUGACCGGCCACAUUGGGCCUGGGGUGCGGCCCGGGCUCAUUCGGGGGGCAGCGGUGGGGAAUUUAGCACGAUAGACGGAGGCCUGGUGGAGCAACGCCGCGUGCGGGAUGACGGCCUUCGGGUUGGAAACCGAUUUCGCCUGUGACGAAGCGUGAUUGACGGUAAUGGGUAAAGAGGCACCGGCAAACUACUU
rnacentral:rRNA from 1 species